rnacentral:rRNA from 1 species
AGAGUUUGAUCCUGGCUCAGGAUGAACGCUUGCGGCGUGCCUAAUACAUGCAAGUCGAACGGUGUAUAUGAGCAAUCGUAUACAUAGUGGCGAACGGGUGAGUAACGCGUUGGUGACCUGCCCUAAAGCGGGGGACAACAGCUCGAAAGGGCUGCUAAUACCCCAUACAGUUGUGAGAGAUUAGAAACUUGCAACGAAAGGAGUAAUCCACUUUAGGAGGGGCCUGCGUCCCAUCAGCUAGUUGGUAGGGUAACGGCCUACCAAGGCGUAGACGGGUAGGGGACCUGAGAGGGUGGCCCCCCACAAUGGAACUGAAACACGGUCCAUACACCUACGGGUGGCAGCAGUAGGGAAUAUUGCACCAUGGGCGAAAGCCUGAUGCAGCAACGCCGCGUGAGUGAUGAAGGCCUUCGGGUCGUAAAACUCUUUUCAAGGGAAAGAGGAAGGACGGUACCCUUGGAAUAAGCAUCGGCUAACUACGUGCCAGCAGCCGCGGUAACACGUAGGAUGCAAGCGUUAUUCGGAUUUACUGGGCGUAAAGCGCGUGUAGGCGGUUAGGAGAGUUGGAUGUGAAAGCUCCCGGCUUAACUGGGAGAGGUCGUUCAAAACUUCCUGACUAGAGUUUGGUAGAGGAAAAUGGAAUUCCGGGUGUAGUGGUGAAAUGCGUAGAUAUCCGGAGGAACACCAGUGGCGAAAGCGAUUUUCUGGACCGAUACUGACGCUCAGACGCGAAAGCUAGGGUAGCAAACGGGAUUAGAGACCCCGGUAGUCCUAGCUGUAAACGAUGUAGACUUGGCGUUGGGAGAGUAAAAUCAUCCAGUGCCGAAGCAAACGCGAUAAGUCUACCGCCUGGGGAGUACGGCCGCAAGGUUAAAACUCAAAGGAAUUG